CUAGUAUUAAAGGUCUCGCCUGCCCAGUGAAAUAUAAUUCAACGGCCGCGGUACCCUAACCGUGCAAAGGUAGCGUAAUCACUUGCCCCCCAAAUAGGGGCCCGUAUGAACGGCCAACUGAGGGUGUACCUGUCUCUUAGAGAAAAAUAAUGAACCUGAUCCCCUAGUACAAAAGCUAGGAUUACCACAUAAGACAAGAAGACCCUGUGGAGCUUACAAACACUGCCAUUAAUGGCUGAACACCGCCAACAUAACGGCAGCUUUUAGUUGGGGCAACUAUGGAGCAAAAUAAAACCUCCACGUUACAACUAACCAUUCCCCUAGACCAACUAGCCAACCCCACCAAGACCCAGCAUCACCUGACCACCGAACCAAGUUACCCCAGGGAUAACAGCGCUAUCCUCUUUAAGAGCCCACAUCGCCAAGAGGGUUUACGACCUCGAUGUUGGAUCAGGACACCCAAGUGGCGCAGCCGCUACUAAAGGUCCGUUUGUUCAACGGUUAAU
rnacentral:rRNA from 1 species